rnacentral:rRNA from 1 species
CCUACGGGUGGCAGCAGUGAGGAAUAUUGCACAAUGGGGGAUACCCUGAUGCAGCAACGCCGCGUGAGUGAAGACUUAUUUCUGUAUGUUAAGCUCUAUCUGCAGGGAAGUAGAAAGACGGUAGCUGACUAAUAAGCACCUGCUAACUACGUGACAGCAGGCGCGGUAAGACGUAGGGGGCAAGCGUUAACCGGAUUUACUGGGUGUAAAGGGAGCGUAGACGGUUGAGUAAGUCGGAAGUGAAAUCUCGUGGCUCAACCGCGGAACUGCUUUGGAAACUGUAUAGCUUGAGUACUGGAGAGGCAGGCGGAAUUCGUGGUGUAGCGGUGAAAUGCGUAGAUAUUAGGAGGAACACCAGUGGCGAAGGCGGCCUGCUGGACAGAAACUGACGUUGAUGCUCGAAAGCGUGGGGAGCAAACAGGAUUAGAUACCCGAGUAGUC